GGAGUAGUACUCAAGAGGCUGAAGAGGUGCCCCUGCUAAGGGUAUAGGUCGGGAAACUGGCGCGAGAGUUCAAAUCUCUCCUACUCCG
rfam:Eubacterium dolichum CAG:375 genomic scaffold, scf141